AUAUUUUGGAACUGAGCCUAGUUCCUUCAAUAUCAAUGCAAUCUAUGAUUAUUAGAUUACACUAGCUGAUAUCAAAGGAACUAGGCUCAGUUCCGAAAUAU